GAAAAACAUUAAUAUCAAUUCCAUGAAUUCCUCUAAGAACCAUUCCUCUAUUAAAUCAUUUAAUCCCUACAGUAGCCUGACGAGUAGGCAGUGUUACUAAGAUUCCUAUUUCACAGACAAGGAAAACUAAGAUCACAAGGCCAGCAAACAGGCAAGCUAAGUUCUGUAGCCUGCACUCUAAACGGUUACACACACUGCUUCUCAAUAGUUCACCUCCACGGGAAAGAUGCAGAUUUCUCCAGCAACAAAAGAUGCUAAGUCAAAAUGGCUCACUGUUUCUUUUCUUUUUCUUUUAAAUUUUUUUAUUUGUUCUUUUUAGUUAUACAUGACAGUAGAAUGGAUUUUGACAUAUCAUACAUGGAGUAUAACUUCCCGUUCUUGUGGUUGUACAUGAUGUGGAGUUUCACUGGUUGUGUAUUAUAUAUGAACAUAGGAGAAUUAUGUCCUAUUUAUUCUACUGUCUUUCCUAUUGUCUUAGUGUUUCUGAGCAAUGAAGCAUGAGGGAGAAUAAAGACCUCUUUAGACAUUUAAGACUUAGAAUACUUACUUCCCAAAUGUCCUUUCUUAGGAAGUUACUUAAGGAUGUAAGCCUCAAAAAUAAGGAAAAAAUGAAAAAGGAGAAUUAAGAGAGUGAUAAAAAUAACUCCUAGGAAGAGAUGUAUAAUGCAAUUUGGAGAAAUAUGACUGAGGAUUCCAACUGGGAAAGGGGCCUCUAUGGAGUUAUUAGCAUUACAGAGAAUUGAUAAAACUUGAUGGAAUAAUAAAUAGGUAGAGGGGAAGAAAAGAAAGAGCAUUUUAAACUCCAGGAAAACAAAAGGCCAUAGAACAAAGUCAGAGUUUGGAUAAAGAGUCUGGGAAGGGGAGGCAGGAACAGUAGAGUCAAUGCUACUUGAUCUUUGAGCCCCACACAUGAUGCUCUGAUGCCAAUAUUUGUAUCUAUAUCUAGGUUUAAUUUUCUUUAAGAGAGUGAAAUAUUCAUAGUUGAGUGGGCUGAAAUAACUUCAUGUACAAGUUGGGUCUAGAGCAAAAUUCUGAAAGAGGAAAAAGUCUGAACUGGUAGCCAGGAACAAGAAGACAUUAAACCCUGAGAAAGGAAAAAAAUUUAUUUAAAAAGUAAAAGUCUUACCUUGAAUAGGUAGGAGAACUAUUGAGCUAUCAGUAAAAUUUCUUUUUUUUAAGUUGUAGAUGGACACAAUAUCUUUAUUUUUAAAUUUAUUUUUAUGUGGAGCUAAGGAUCAAACCCAGUCCCUCACAUGUGUGAAGCAGGCUGUAUACCACUGAACUACAGCUCCAGCCCCAGUAAAAUUUCUUUAAAGGCAGAGAAAGUUCACUGUAUGAAUACUAGACAUGAAAGUGGGGCAAACAGGGCUGGAGGGCUAGUAAUCCGCAGGGUUUAUAGAAGGACAACUCCUCAUGUGUUUUUUUGCAGCAGAUCUGCAAACUGUUAACUCUAGGUCCUGAGGUAGAACCAGGAUAGUACUCAGGUCUGAGCACACCAUGUUGCGACUGCCUGAUGCUCAUAGAGACACUGGUCCCUUGUUUAAGGACAGUGCCUUCUAAAAGGGUUGAAAGUCACACAAGAGCCCAGGGAUCUAUGGACAAAGAUGUUCACUGCAGCACUGUUUAUAGAGCAAAGCAGAAUAAAACAAAAUCUAAGUCUGGAAACACCUUGAAUGCAUGUUUGUAGGGGAAUAUUUAAAUAGAUUAUAAUAUGUGAUUUAUUUAUUCAUACACCAUUCAAUGGCUGUUAAAAAGAAUGAGGCUGAGCUACAUGAACUGCUACAGAAAGAUGUCUACCAUAUAGUAAAUAAAAAAGGCAACUUGCGAAAGAGCAUAUAUAUUAUGAGUGUUUGUAUUAAACAUAUGCAUAAUACACACUGCAAAAUGUACUUUUAUAAUUGAAAGUGCUAGUUAGCAAAAUAAACUGCUAGUGAGAAAUCUAUCUGGUCUCUCACUUUUGGCAUCUGCUUCUUUGAGAAGUGAAGCAGGAAGGGAUUCAGGGAAGUCGUGAGGGAAGACUGAAAGCCUAGGGGCCAGGGAAAAGGCCAGGGAGGCGGGUGGGUGAACCAGAAAGGGUGGCUGAGGGACUGGCAGUGAAGUACAGUGGUUAGGGAGGAUGAGCAGGGUAGAGGAUCCCCAGGACCAAACUGUCCUCAGGGAAGCCACCAGCACUCUGGGAUACAAAUCCCACAUGUUUAGCUUUGACUGGGAGCUUGUUCAAACAAAUCCUGAGGCAUCAUGAGCAGCAGCUGCACUGAAGUCUUUUGCAACAAGUGGGCAGCAACCUGGUUGCUGGAAGGCACCCUGUAGGGAGAGAACUUCCUGGUGCUGGUAGAGAGACAGCAAUGGGCGAUAGUAAUGAAAGCAGCUCCAAGCACUGAACAUCUAACCAUAAUCACAGCUACCUCUUCAUUGAGACCCAUGCCUGUCAUUUGUUCUGUCCUAUUUGAGGCAUCCAUCCUCAGACAACGCUACUAGAUGCAAUUGUCACUAAUAUGUAGACAGGAAGCUCAGGUAUAGGGAGGGGAGGUAACAGCUUUGAGGUUACACAGGUACAGCAAGAUGCAGAGCCCAGAAUGAAACUCAGAGACCAGAGGUCUCCAAAGAGACUUACUUCUGGUGACUUUUGUUCUGCCUUUAUUACACCUGUCUAUACUGUUGGAGUUUCCUACAAUGGGCAUUCCAACCCUCCAAAAUUCAUGUUGAAACAUAACCCUGUUGUGGUGGUAUUAGGAGGUGUGGCCUUCUGGGAAGUGACUGCCAUGAGGGCAGAGUGCUGAAGGGAACUGGUUUAGACCCUUCUUGACCUUCUGCAACAGGAUGCAUCGUUAAGGAAAGGAAAGCAGCCAGGCUCUGACCCACUGGCAUCUUGGACUUUUGGCCUCCAAAAGGGUGAGAAAUAAAUUCCUAUUAUUUGUAAACUAUCCAGUUUCGAGUAUUUUGUAUAGAAGUACAAUGAACUAAGACAGAAAUACAUCCUUUUUUUUCCCCCUUAAGAUAUGUUACUAUGUUGCUGCCCAGUCUGGCACUGACCUCCUAGCUCAAGUGAUCCCCCCUCCUCAGCCUGCCUCGGAGCUGAUACUACAGGUGACAGCAUGAUUGGCCAGACAUCAUUAGUAGGAUGAAGAAAUCCUAGUAAGUUCCCAUGGGGGGAGGGCCUGGGAAGGGAGUUCCUUUGUGCAGCUGAACACAG
rnacentral:lncRNA from 1 species